AUGCAGCUAGGCAGCUUGUGUCGCCAAGGGGCUGUCUCACACAUGGUCCAGUUAUAUCAAGUUACCUUGGGGGAUGGAGAAGCGCAGGAGGCUACCCCCGAAUGCAUUCAGGCAAUCCUGGAGCAAUACCCUGAUGUUUUUCAAGAGCCGGAAGGGCUUCCCCCUCGGCGUAACUGUGACCAUCACAUACCACUGGUGUCGGGGGCACAGCCAGUGAACAUCCGUCCAUACCGACACAAACCUGAGCAUAAGACAGAGAUCGAGGAACAAGUGGCAGACCUACUCAAACAGGGUGUCAUCAGACGCAACGCUAGCCCAUUUGCAUCCCUGGUGAUUCUAGUGAAAAAGAAGGACGACACAUGGCGCCUCUGCGUAGAUUAUCGCCAUCUCAAUGCUAUGACCACAGUGCCCAAAUUCCCAGUGCCAGUGAUUGAGGAGCUGCUCGACGAACUACACAGAGCAGUCUGGUUCUCCAAACUUGACCUUUGA
rnacentral:rRNA from 1 species